UGGUGGGAGGUGUGGUUACCUGGGAUGGACACUAAUCAUUUUACAGAUAACAGAUAUUUUCCCUCUGACUGAAAACUCAAUAAUCUGGAAUGAUUCAAAUAUCAGAUUGAUACGACGGUCUCUGAUUCUGGCGGAUAUCUCCUCAAUCCCGAGUGUGGACCUGAUGUUGGACCAGCUUCAGUGGCGUUCUUCUCUCUUCAGAACGUCCCGUCGGUUCUGAGGAACAGCUGGAGGAAGAGCCCCAAAACCGUGAAGAGGGGGAAGAGGAAGAGCGUGGAGGUGGAGGACCUGGUCUUCAGCGAGAACAAGAGGAACAGGGGGAGGGGCGGGGCUCUGAGCAGCAGACAGGUGAGCGCUCUCAGGUGCGCCGUCCCGCCGGCCGCAGCUUUCCUUUACCUCCUUCUUCUUCUGUGGUUUCAGGAGCAGAAAGCGUCUGCGGUGAUCUUCGACUCUCCCUCCAAAGCCAAAGGUCAGCUGCAGCGCUGACAUCAGACAGCAGGGGGCCUCAGAGGAAGCAGUUACCAUGGUUACUGGAGCCUCUUCUGUUUCCGCAGGUCCGGUGGAGACGGGAACCACAAAACCCCGUCGAGGGCGCAGAAAGCUUUUAAAGACGGGGGUGUCGACGCCGCUGCUCGAUUCCCCUCAAACGGCGUUGGAAGGAGCCGGCGAAGACAAGGAAAGCGAUCACCUGAUCAUCAAGAGGAAGCUGCGCUCUAAAACCGGCAGGAAGUGAUGUCAUCGACCUCGAAAACAUGUACAGAUUUUAUGUCGUCUCAGGAUCAAUAAAGAACAGGAUAAUGUCACAAUCAGAUUCCUCAUUUUCAGGACGUAGACGGGACCGGCCGUCUGUCGUCACUAGAGUUUCAAUAAAGUUAUGAAAAUGGGAUAAACAAGGCGAUUUAUCUUGACGCAUAUCAUGAUAUAUCCCAAGAAUACCAG
rnacentral:lncRNA from 1 species